CAAGCGAAGAAAGUUGGAAAAUUAAUAAUUAAACGCUUGCUGUCUUUUAUUAUCUUGAGUAUAAAAUGGUUAUAUGACAAUCUCUCUCAGAUUCAGAUUCUUUAUUCCACGAAAGUGGUUAUUAAGUACAUUAUAUUUCACAUAGCUUUACAUAAAUAUGGAGGUCAUAAAACUAAACUGUAGAUUGAAAUAUCUUAGUAUACUACUAAAUGAUUAAAUUGCAGAAUGUUGUCAUCAAAAAAUAUUAAGAGUAUAAAAUAAUCAUGGUAACUAAAAUAGUAUUUCUACACUAAAGUGCAAUGUCUACCUCUAAGUAAAAUAAAAUACAUGAAUGUCCUUAAAAUUAUGUUUAAAUGAUAAUAAGACCAUAAAAUGCUGGAUAAAAUAUGGGUGUAAAGCUUCAUCACUGUGCGUUUUCUAACAUAUGUCUAAAAUAUUUAUAUAAUAUUUGCAGAUUGGAAAUGUUUCCUGAGGUUAGUCUUAAAACUGUUUAGAUUUUGAGACAGGGUGAUGGUGGAUGGGAGUUGGUUCCACAACUUAGGACCCAACACAGUGAGGUCCCUGGCACCGCUGUCUGUUCUGGUCCGGGGAACAUGCACACACCUACAUUGUGAUGGAGCUCCUUGGAGGUGGAGAGCUGGCUGCUUCAGAGGAUCAGGAAACACGAGAGGUUCACAGAGGCUCGCCUCGGGCUUCGGUCGUCGUGAGGAACCUGGUGUCAGCAGUUCACUACGUGCACAGGAAAGGCAUCAGUGUUCACGGAGACCUAAAGCCAGACAGGGGUGAAGAGUUAGGAGAGGGAGAAGAAAUAUGUUGGGAAUUAAUGGAAUGGGAGGGAAUAAAAAUAGAAAAGUGGUUGGUGUUGAGGAUAGACAGAAAAGAAAAGAAAGGAAAGGUGAAAAAAAGGAAGUUUUUUUGCAUUGAUUUUCCAUCUGCUUAUUUUAAAGAAUUUAUUGCAUGGAAUAUUAUUGAUCUCCAUCAUUUGUAUGGCCUUUAUAAUAAAAAGUAUGAAUUUA